rnacentral:rRNA from 1 species
UACGAAGGGGGCUAGCGUUGCUCGGAAUCACUGGGCGUAAAGCGCACGUAGGCGGAUCUUUAAGUCAGGGGUGAAAUCCUGGAGCUCAACUCCAGAACUGCCUUUGAUACUGGGGAUCUCGAGUCCGGAAGAGGUGAGUGGAACUCCGAGUGUAGAGGUGAAAUUCGUAGAUAUUCGGAAGAACACCAGUGGCGAAGGCGGCUCACUGGUCCGGUACUGACGCUGAGGUGCGAAAGCGUGGGGAGCAAAGCGGGG